rnacentral:lncRNA from 1 species
CGAAAGUGUAAAUUGGUAGGAAUAGUUAUCAAAGGUAGGAAAAUACAAUAACUCGACAGAUGCAAAUAUGGCUAAGCAUACAGAUACACACGUCCGAUUUCUAAUUUGAUAGCAUUUUUGAAAGUUUUUACCAUACGACAUUUAAUGUACGGUUAGGGUGUGGGUUGGGUGCCCGCUAACAUGUUUAAUCCCGCCAUAUUCUGUAUGUGCCUGUCCAAAGCCAGGAGCGUGUAAUUCAGUGGUUAUAUAUAUUUUUUUGUUCACUGUUUUGUGCAUAAAUUGGGCCGGUAGUUUUCUCGUAUGAAUUGUUUUACAUUUGUCAUUUCGGUGUGUUUUAUAGCUGACUAUGCGG